rnacentral:rRNA from 1 species
UACGUAGGGGGCAAGCGUUGUCCGGAAUUAUUGGGCGUAAAGAGCGCGUAGGCGGUCCGAUAAGUCGGCUGUGAAAGUCAAGGGCUCAACCCUUGGAAGCCGGCCGAUACUGUCGGACUAGAGUCCGGAAGAGGCGAGUGGAAUUCCCGGUGUAGCGGUGAAAUGCGCAGAUAUCAGGAGGAACACCGAUGGCGAAGGCAGCUCGCUGGGACGGUACUGACGCUGAGGCGCGAAAGCGUGGGGAGCGAACAGGGAUAGAA